rnacentral:misc_RNA from 1 species
CGUUGACGCACGCCUUCUUCAUCUCAAGCUGACCUGAAAGGUUCAGCAUUGCCCUGUGAAUACGGAAAAGGAAAGGACAUGGAGGUCUCCGCGUCUUCGCAAGCGGCAGGACGACAGGGCCUGGCCCGCGUCGAGGCGGUAGUGGCGGCUGCGACGCUGCCGUUGCUGAUGACGCCGCAACGCAGCAGCGCCGAGCAGCGAGAGGCCUUUCUGAACCAGGUAUACACCGAUUAUGCCGAGUUGCAGAGGCAGCGUGAGGAAAUCGACAGUCGCAAGCGGCAGAUGGACUUCACCAUGUAUGAAAGCAACCGGCAGGACAUAUAUGAUGUGCUCUUCGCCAACGUCGAUGCAGCUGACGGUGCGCUCGGCGACUGGGAUACCUGGGAGAGGGUAGAGGCGGUCGUGAAACGCUACGCGUACGGCAAACCGCGACACACGGCACAGGAAAAGAAGGAAAUGGGCGCAAUGCAGAGCCGCCUUGGCAAUCUCUGUCAGGUACUGCAGGAGAAAACAACCACAAUACAGUGCCUUACCUUCGACUUGGACGCUGUGCAGAAGGAGCUCGCUGGUGUGCUGAAGCUGCUGCGCCUCAAGGACAGCGAGAUUCGAAAGCUGAACAGCCAGAACAGUACAUCGAAACUGCAGCUGCGCUACCUCGAACGAGAGUGCGCCGAACUCCGCGGCUUCCGCAGCGAGAACGAGCCGUCGGUGCUGAAAAAAGACUUCGGUUUCCUCAUUGAGGCGAACAAGGCGUUGGAGCAGGAGAACUCUCAGCUGCGACGGCGGCUAAAUGCCCAGGAAAGCGCUGCGGGCGCUGCUUUCACGCAGAAAGCGUUCCACGAAGAGGAGGCAGCUACUCCCUGUGAGUCUCCCCACGAACGGGACGAAACACAGCCAUCCGGUGUGCCGGAGGAGAGCCUUGACCAGUGCAUUGAAGACGACUCCUACCGGCGCAAACUGCUGCGAGAAAACAUCCCUCUUUCAGGGGCUAUUGUCGACGCAAAGUCCGAAGUCGAGCUGUGGAAGCGACGCUUGGAGGCAGAAGUCAGCUGCGCUAUGGAGAUGCUCGACCGAGACGCACAGCUGGCUCAGCGCAUGGCUCGGGUGACUGGCAGCUUUGGAGGGGCGCACGAGGAACUGCCCAGGGACAACGACGUUAUUGUGUCCUACGCAAGGUACGAAAACAUCGCCGAAACGCGCCCAUGUCUGAAAACCUUGUCCGUGGUUGCGGCCCCGGCACUUCCGAGCUUCGCCUCCCCCUCAGCUGCAGCUCAGCAGGGCACCUCAACGGUAACGCUGGUGAGCACUACAACGGCGGUCCCAACAAGAACGACAGCGACCUCUUUGCAGCACGUUGCCCCUAGCCCAGAACAGCAACUGGAGCCCCUGCAGGAGCAAAAGAAGAGCCUCAAGUCGCGGUCGGCGACACGCGCGUCGCGCCACAAAAAGACUGCGUCGACGACUGCCGCCACCACGGCUCCAGUUGCGUCACACAAUCCCGACCCACCAGCAUCGGCGCCGACGUCGCUGUCGAGAAAGAGUGACAUAGUCCGCGGGCCUGGAGGCGGUCGUGCCGCUGGAACCACUGCAUCAGUGCCAGCUCCCUCCACCUCCGCGGCAUUGACGCACCUGAAAAGCGCCGUUCUCCAAUGCGCCGAGCUCUCCCGUGCGAAUGCGCUGCGGCGCGAGCUGCUGCAUGUGCAGUGGUUUCGGCAGCAGCUGCAAGGGGAGCGCGAGCGCGUUGCAUCGAUGGUGGCCGCCCAGCUCCACUCUGCUGUCCAGGGCGCAGAGGCCACUAAGCGUGAUGACGCACCUCAGCGUAAGCAGGCCCAAAGCGUGUCCCUCACGGGCGAGCACGAACCCCUCACUCCAGCGCUUCCCAUCGUGAGCAAGGCACGCGCUGAGGUCUUGUCUCUCGGGCCAUCCUCCAGUAGCUCCUCCGCACCGGUCCGGCUGCGUCAUCUCGUGCAAGAGAGUCGCCCGUCCACCCGGCAGGGCGAUGGGGAUGGUGGCGAGGUGGACGGCUGCCCUAUGGGUAGUGCACGCGACGGCGGCGGUGAGACUGGGCUUUCUGCGUCGCCGAGUCGUCCGUUGCGCUCAACGUCACCGGCACUCCACGCGCGAACGUCAGUGGCAUGGAGGAAUCCGUCUGCGCCGUCGAUAUCUACCGGGCAUGCCCGCAACGCGACUGACAACACGACUGUGUCGCUGGACGUGCUGCAGCCGUCGGCGUCUUGUGCGGAUGCUGUCGUCGCGCCUGUUUCGCCCAUCACGCGAAAGGGUGGCCAAGCUGCUGGCGGUACCGCUACCCGUGGAGCGGGGACUGGGCCCGAAAAGGCCGGAGUACAACGCCGUGGCGCGCGAGCGGAAGGCCUCGCCCUACAUGUUGACUGGCUGCGUCAACAAGUGCAGCAACUCGCUCUCGAGGCGGCAGCGUUUAGGAACGAGGUGCAGGAGGCGCUUGGUCUGUUGAGCAUGCUAUUUGCGCAGCAGCAGCUGCAUGUCCGGCACACGCCCGAGGCGGAGGCGAUGUGUACCAUGAAGGCUGCGGCGCAGCAGGCGCUAGAGGAGGCCGCCAUUGCGCGAGCGGUACACUUGCUAGAGCAGGACUGUGGUGCAAAACUCCGCGAUUUCUAUGCAGCCACGCCUAAGCCCCUCCCUGAGAAGGCGACAGACGAGGAGUGGCUUGCCCACGAGUUGCGCUUGGCGGCACUGGAGAUGAUUCGAGAGACGCCGCAGUCACACGCGAUGUGUGGCGGUGACGGUCAAGAGUACAGUGCUGGUGCCACCCCCCAGGCUGCCGGCUCGACGCCGCCACGACGACCUUGGCUGACGGGGGAGAAAGAGGACGGCGCUGGCCGCCGUGGACAUCAGUUUUUCGACGAGGACAUUCUGCAGCCACGCCAGCCAUGGCCAAAAGGCACCUUCGGCACCGCCAACCGCUGGAAUGCAUCUGUCGCAAACCGCAGCGGCGGCCAUCGUGGCUAUGUCGAGGAAACGCGAGAAGGGGACGACGCCGACGGGAUGCGUUUGCGCCAGGAGGUGGUGCAUGACGGACCCCGCACGCUUGGUAGCGCCUUGCAGCCGCUGCCGUCGCAGCCCCUGGAUUGGUACUGGGUGGCUCGCAACCUUCUCGGCGUCGAAUUGCCCGGUGCCGACCACCACGAGACCUCCCACGAGCCAAGGAUGCGGAUGGGAGGUUUCCGCGCAACAGCAAAUUUGUCGCCCACGUCUUGGUGGUGGCACGCCCCUCCUGCGGACAUCGAAUCACUUCGGCCGACGGUCUUGCGGUAUGACUUCGGUGCCGCCCAGCGGCAGGCGCAGGAGUGUGUGAGGGAGCACGUGAAGCAGGCAACGGCGUACAUCUGCGGCAGCAGCUUCGAUGAUUUUGUGCGUCAGUACAUUGUGCCCAUCAUCUCGACCGCCACGCGGGUGACCAGCGGCUCUGGCAUGGACGCGGCCCUCCGCGCUGCGGUUCGGCAGCUACGUGAGAAGGCGCGUCAGCAGUGCAAGCGCGACGUGCGUCUGCUCUUGAACCGCGUCGCUAAUAAUAUUCGCACCCGAAACCUUCUCCGCAGCCGCGUUGUCCAUGGCGAGGGCUUUGUGUCGUAUGUCGGUGUGCUCUACAACAGGUGGCGCGACAGGCUGGAGCAGGAGAGGCGCCAGAUGCGCGCAGAGCAGCGCGCCAGACAGGCGUCUGUCUUGUCUCUCAUGCAUCUUCAGGCGCCGGCUGACUCCGCGAUGGCGAGCAUACGGCCGCCGAUGAGGAGCUCGGCACGGGCGCACGACAGCGGAAUCAGCGGCGGCGGUGUCUGUCUUCCCCAGUGCCCGCUGCAGCCUUCCAGUUACCACUUCGACAGGGUGAAAUUUGGAAACACGUAACAUGUAUAUACGAGGUCUCCCAGAGUAGGCGCGACGGUAGAAAUUGCGUGGCCAUGCCAGGGAGCUCUUGCUUCUCUUGUGUCUCAUACCUUUGGCUUUGCGUCUUUUUUUGUUUAUUAUCUUGUUACCCUCACAAAGCCAUCUGGUCGACUCUUCCUCGUCCUCUCAUGGUUAGCUCUCUCUUCACAUGAAGGAGAGUGACCCACCGAGAGAAGGCCAGCAAUGGCACGUGAAGGUCGAUGGCACGCCCCCAACACAUAUUUUGGUGUUCUUUCUCCAUCCUUCCCAUCAUCGUUUUCUCGAAAACAAC